AGAAUGCACACAUGAGGCCAAAACUACAGAAUCUUUGUGUUUCUUGUUUGUCUGGUUUACCCCCUUUUUAUUUUUAAAGGAAAAAAGGACAGGGGAGGUGCACCCCAGAGGAGCUUGGGACCCCUGCUUGCCCCAGGAACCGAGUGAACGCUUGAGCCCCAUGGCCCACACCUGCUUCCCCAGGUCCCAGCACUGCUCUGCUUGAUACAUUGCUAUUUCAAGAUGGUGCUGGCCGGUGAUGCGGAGUCGUGAAAAAAACCCAAAGCGCAAACCCUUUGCCUCUGGAAGGUGGGGUGCAGCUUGUUCCUACCCCUGGGCUUUGGGUCAAGCUUCCUGGGGACCAUGUCUGGAACGCAUAUGGCGUCCUUCCACCUUCAAGGCCGGAUGCAGAAGCAGGCCACCUCCCAAGGGCUUGUCUAACCACUCUUGGUCACAGCAUUUUCUCCUUCUUAGGAACGCAGAGCGUUUGUUUACUAUCAGCGGCAUUCCCUGGACACAUAGUCACACAGCAUUGUGACAUCUCAGGCUCUGGGAACCCGAAAAAAAGACGCCAGAGAAGCCGGGACGUGAGGCCCGUGAAGUAGCCAGUGAGUUGGACAAAUGGACCACGACUUUGGAGGCCCCUGAUGUGAGUUUGUAGAGUGGACCAAAUAGAAGAAUUUCCCUGCGGAGCACACUGGACCCAACAGAAGAAGUACAUGAUACAGCAGUUGCUUCUAGGAUCAACACAAAAUUUGCCGUGGGAAUGCUGUUCAUUUCAAAUGUUAUUGGUUCUUCAAUUUCACUUUUAGUUGGCAUGUAAAACGUGUUCUGGUAAUGUAGUUACACAAGAGCAAUGAACGCAAGGAUGU